rnacentral:lncRNA from 1 species
UGCUAGCGAAUAAAUAUGUCUAAGCUGCCAGGUACAGGCAACUCGUAGCUUUAAUUAGCUACUAAAACAGGUAGCGUAGAAACUUUAUUGUCGUCAAUGGGAAAGAGGAUGACGGAGAAAAAAUGUUUAAUUAGUGCUUAUAGGAGCUUCAUGUCUUAUCUGCUUAUAGUGACAACAGACCAACCAUGUAGAUAAAUGGCAUUAUUUCUCUUUAACGGGAAUAUCGCUUUGCUUACAUUUCUUCAGGGAAGUCCCCGAAGAAACAGCUCUGGCCCUCGCUGAGGUGGGGUGAGCAGAGAGGAGUUGUGACUUUGCAGAGCUGUGCUCAAAUGACUGCUGUCUCUCCCCCCUUCGGGCAUUCCUAGAGCUGCCCCAGCAGACAGAUCCCUCUGAAGGGCUCCCUGAUUCACUCCCAUUGCUCUCUUGUGGCAUUGAGAGCCCUCCUGGAGUAACGCUAAUGUAACCAUUCAUGUUUUUGGAACAUCUUGUACUCCAACAGGUCUCAAAUCACCUCGCACUCUGCGGAGACAGCACCCAGGGAUCUCUUCCCCAGGCAGCGCAGCACGGCCUCGGCAGGAAGCUGAACAGCGCCCAGCAGCUAAAAUCAAGUGUUUCCGAGCAGAGGGUAGCGAGCUGGGUGCUCUCAGAUUUCCAGAAUUUUUCUGUUUGUGUGAAAAUGAAGAGAACGAUGCCUGCAGCCAAACCUCCAAUCUAG